AAGUCGUAACAAGGUUUCCGUAGGUGAACCUGCGGAAGGAUCAUUAUCUAUGGAGGACUUGUCCUCCAACUGAUAUACCCUUGGCUUUUGAGUACUUGUGUUUCCUUGGUAGGCUUGCCUGCCAAUAGGACAUUAUAAAACCCUUUUUAUUUUUAAAUCAGCGUCUGAAUAAAUGAAUAAUUACAACUUUCAACAACGGAUCUCUUGGUUCUG
rnacentral:misc_RNA from 1 species